rnacentral:rRNA from 1 species
UACAGAGGUCUCAAGCGUUGUUCGGAGUCAUUGGGCGUAAAGGGUGCGUAGGCGGCGCGGUAAGUCGGGUGUGAAAUCUUGGAGCUUAACUCCGAAACUGCAUUCGAUACUGCCGUGCUUGAGGACUGGAGAGGAGACUGGAAUUUACGGUGUAGCGGUGAAAUGCGUAGAGAUCAUGAGGAAGACCAGUGGCGAAGGCGGGUCUCUGGACAGUUCCUGACACUGAGGCACGAAGGCCAGGGGAGCAAACGGG